AGUGAACGCUGGCAGUAGGCCUAACACAUGCAAGUCGAACGGCAGCACAGUAAGAGCUUGCUCUUACGGGUGGCGAGUGGCGGACGGGUGAGGAAUACAUCGGAAUCUACUUUUUCGCGGGGGAUAACGUAGGGAAACUUACGCUAAUACCGCAUACGACCUACGGGUGAAAGCAGGGGAUCUUCGGACCUUGCGCGAUUGAAUGAGCCGAUGUCGGAUUAGCUAGUUGGGGGGGUAAAGGCCCACCAAGGCGACGAUCCGUAGCUGGUCUGAGAGGAUGAUCAGCGACACUGGAACUGAGACACGGUCCAGACUCCUACGGGAGGCAGCAGUGGGGAAUAUUGGACAAUGGGCGCAAGCCUGAUCCAGCCAUACCGCGUGGGUGAAGAAGGCCUUCGGGUUGUAAAGCCCUUUUGUUGGGAAAGAAAAGCAGCAGGUUAAUACCCCGCUGUUCUGACGGUACCCAAAGAAUAAGCACCGGCUAACUUCGUG
rnacentral:rRNA from 1 species